CCUUCAAUGCUGUAGAAAUGUUUUGGUACACUUCCUCAGGUCUGUGCCUCAACACAAUCCUGUCUCGGAGCUCUAUGGACAAUUCCUUCGACCUCAUGGCUUGGUGUUUGCUCGGACAUGUACUGUCAGCUGUGGGACCUUAUAUAGACAGAUAUGUACAUUUGCAAAUCAUGUCCAAUCAACUGAAUUUACCACAAGUGGACUCCAAUCAAGUUGAAGAAACAUCUCAUGCUCAUUUCUAUUUUAGAAUAAGGCUGUAAAAUAACAACAUGUGGAAAAAGUCAAGGGAUCUGAAUAUGUUCUGAAUGCACUUUAUGUAUAUAUGUAUAUAUGACUUAAAUAACAAAAUGUGGAAAAAGUCAAGGGAUCUGAAUAUGUUCUGAAUGCACUUUAUGUAUAUAUAUAUAUAUGACUUAAAAAAUAUAUGGGGGAUUGGAAAUGAAGCAGACAAUUACAUUGGUGGAAGCUAAAAUCUAUCUGCAAUAUGAAAGCUGAUCUACCCCCCACCAACAACAACAAAACAUGAUAAUAAAACAGAUUGAAUAUAGGAAGGACAGCUAUGUAAUGUGGAAGGAAGGGGUAAGAGUCCUUAAACUGUCAUUCUUCUUUUGUUGUUUCAUGAAUUUGUAUGUUUGAUGUUAUGUCUGGUCUUUGCCAUGUCUUUUACAUUUCACAGUGCAUUUUCUUGUACGUAAAGUAAAUAUCUGUGAAGAUCAGACAAUAAAGAAUUCUAAUCUAACAUAGUAAAUUCUCACAACAUGUGUUACUUGUCAAGAAGAUUGUGAUGCACUCCAAUAGCAUGGAUUCUCUCUGUUUGUAAGGUGAAUGUACAUGUGGUGUAACUAUGGUCUGUCUCAGUCUGUAAGGUGAAUGUACAUGUGGUGUAACUAUGGUCUGUCUCAGUCUGUAAGGUGAAUGUACAUGUGGUGUAACUAUGGUCUGUCUCAGUCUGUAAGGUGAAUGUACAUGUGGUGUAACUAUGGUCUGUCUCAGUCUGUAAGGUGAAUGUACAUGUGGUGUAACUAUGGUCUGUCUCAGUCUGUAAGGUGAAUGGACAUGUGGUGUAACUAUGGUCUGUCUCAGUCUGUAAGGUGAAUGUACAUGUGGUGUAACUAUGGUCUGUCUCAGUCUGUAAGGUGAAUGGACAUGUGGUGUAACUAUGGUCUGUCUCAGUCUGUAAGGUGAAUGGACAUGUGGUGUAACUAUGGUCUGUCUCAGUCUGUAAGGUGAAUGGACAUGUGGUGUAACUAUGGUCUGUCUCAGUCUGUAAGGUGAAUGUACAUGUGGUGUAACUAUGGUCUGUCUCAGUCUGUAAGGUGAAUGUACAUGUGGUGUAACUAUGGUCUGUCUCAGUCUGUAAGGUGAAUGUACAUGUGGUGUAACUAUGGUCUGUCUCAGUCUGUAAGGUGAAUGUACAUGUGUUGUAACUAUGGUCUGUCUCAGUCUGUAAGGUGAAUGUACAUGUGGUGUAACUAUGGUCUGUCUCUGUCUGUAAGGUGAAUGUACAUGUGGUGUAACUAUGGUCUGUCUCUGUCUGUAAGGUGAAUGUG